CUCAGCAGCUGAAUGAAUGAUCUGAAACAGUCAGCAUGGAGAAGUCUUGGGAGAGGGCAGCCAAGGCAAUCAGGAGGCCUGGGAUAGCCCAUUAACCUGUGAGUGACCAGACUGGGAGAUGAGCAAGGAGAGGCCAAAGAAGGAGCUAAUGUGGGCAUUGAGGGUACAGGUGGGAGUGGAGCAGAGAUUAAAUAAUAUGAAAGUUUUCCGUAAGUGACUCCUGAACUUGCAGAUUCCAUGGGAAGUGCAGCCGCCUGCAGUUACUGUUCCUGUUUUUGAAGAUCCUGCCAGGAAUAAGAGGUAGAAAGACAGACAAGACUGUGAGAAGAUUCAUCAAGGAGGCCACUGUCAAGAAGGGGCAGAGGAUCUCAGUUGGAUGCAUGGGAAAUGGGGAGUGCCAGAAGCCAGCUGGACUGCAGUGUGGGCUGGGAAUGAGGAAACAGUUGGGAUGGUCUGUGCAGGGAGAGCAGGCACAGCAAAGGCUGUGCUGGCAGUGGAUGCUCUGAAAGGGCAGACGAAUAUUUUGGAUAUAUAAGGAUAAAGAAUUUCUGUGAGGGAAGGAGUGUGGAACAGUAAGUCAGACUAAAUAGGGUGGGAUUUGGGGUCUGAACUAUUAGCUUGGGUUAAGAGAUAUGGGGUAGAAAGAGCCACACAUUUGAAAAUCUGCAGGAAGAGGAUGGGAAUCUGGAAUCUAAGAUAAAGGACCUAGGUAUUUGCUCUAAGAUCCUGGGGAAAGAGGAGUGAAAUGUCCUGAUGGUUCUUCUGAGGUCAAAAGAGUUCCACUUUCACUCCAUUGUCUGCCAGUCUCCUCAUUCUGGGCUACCCAGGCAGGGCAAGGUGUGGACACAUUUGUCAAUCCUGUGUUAUGUUCUCUUUUUGCUGUCAAAAAUUGGAUAAUGCUAACCCAAACAUUUUACUCCUAAAGUGUUCUCCUUAUUACACUCAUUUGUAACUCUAGCAGUCGGGUGUGUAAUGAUAUGACCAAAGAGGUGGGAUUCAUAAUUUUUAUUUCUGUGUAAUUUUAAUUUGUAGGACACUGCCUUAGCAAGUAAUUCUUAUUUACUAUACUUUAUACUUUUCACAUUUUUUUUUCCUUCCUGCAGGAACAGUGACAAUGGUGUCAAGUGACAAUUCAACAGAUCAUGAAAGAUCAAGGUCCAUCCUGAAGUUGAAAACUAGGCUGAAACAGAAGCAGCAGCACUGCUGUUAAGUGCAGACUUCAUGCCUUGUUUCAGCAGCUUUCACUCUAAAUGAGGUGAAAUGAUAGUUCUACAGAAAAACAUCAAAACAAACAGAAAGCAGC